GGAAGGUCCGGGCGUUAUCCGGAUUUAUUGGGUUUAAAGGGAGCGUAGGCCGGAGAUUAAGCGUGUUGUGAAAUGUAGACGCUCAACGUCUGCACUGCAGCGCGAACUGGUUUCCUUGAGUACGCACAAAGUGGGCGGAAUUCGUGGUGUAGCGGUGAAAUGCUUAGAUAUCACGAAGAACUCCGAUUGCGAAGGCAGCCUGCUAAGCUGCAACUGACAUUGAGGCUCGAAAGUGUGGGUAUCAAACAGGAUUAGAUACCCUGGUAGUCCACACGGUAAACGAUGAAUACUCGCUGUUUGCGAUAUACGGCAAGCGGCCAAGCGAAAGCGUUAAGUAUUCCACCUGGGGAGU
rnacentral:rRNA from 1 species